GCGACCUCAGGUCAGGCGGGG
rnacentral:rRNA from 10 species